rnacentral:tRNA from 1 species
AUUUGAAUAGCUUAAAAAGAGCAUGACAUUGAAGCUGUUAAGGUAACUUUUGUUUUUAAAUA